UACAGAGGGGGCAAGCGUUGUUCGGAAUUACUGGGCGUAAAGGGCGCGUAGGCGGUGAUGUAAGACAGAUGUGAAAUCCCCGGGCUCAACCUGGGAACUGCAUUUGUGACUGCAUCGCUGGAGUGCGGCAGAGGGGGAUGGAAUUCCGCGUGUAGCAGUGAAAUGCGUAGAUAUGCGGAGGAACACCGAUGGCGAAGGCAAUCCCCUGGGCCUGCACUGACGCUCAUGCACGAAAGCGUGGGGAGCAAACAGG
rnacentral:rRNA from 1 species